GGGGCGCGCGCCCGUCGAUAGACAAUCUCUGUACACACGCUGCCCGUUGUCCCCUGUGGGCGUUUUCUUGGUUUUCGGGUUCGCGUGCUAAUGUCCGAAGUGCACAUCGACUCGGUAUGGCUUGCAGGACCGGUUGUAAUAGGAAUAUCUAUUUUCAUCCCUGGAGCCUUACCGACCGGUUUCUCAUUUUUUCAAGUAUAGCAAAAAGAAGAGGGUCUUCUCCUCGUCUCCUCGUCUUCUCAAGAAGGGAAAUGCACGUUCUCGAAAAGGAACGAAAGGAAGAACGGAGAUUUAAGGCGAUGUGAAAGUGAAAUCUGAGUCUGGACGAACUGGGGGUAUCAAAUCGUUUGAAAUUUCAACACCUCAGGGUGGAGGCCCUAUAGAAGAUCCUGACACCCGCGAAAUUUCAUUUUUUUUAUACAAAUGACUAAAAAGGUUUAUACAAAAGUUUGAAACAAAUGCAAUUUCAUGGGUGGUAGGACUUUUCUUAGGGCGUUCGUGUUCACGUGGCAAAGUUUCGAAUAAUUCGGUACACCCGGUUCAGAGAAAAGCUUCAUAAACCAUUGACCUCUCAGACGCUACUUUCACAUCACCUUAAGGUGAAGUGAAGUCCUCAAGCCAGUCGAUUCGAAAGUAUAUGUAUUUGGCGCCAUACUCUGGCGAGUUUCUUGAUGACCAGAAUGGAUACAAAGAUUCCUCCCGUCUAUAUCUGCCGCAAAGAGAAAUUAAUUUAUUGCGUAUGAAAAUAUGUUUUAUAUUAUUAGACUCAUAUUGUAAACGGUGAUUUAAGGAUCAUUCGUGGCAUUUCUUGAACGUGAAGGAGGAAAGUUCCUUGACUCGGAUGGAAGCUUUCCUUCGACACGUUCUACCUGUGCCAACCUAGACUGGCUAGUUAGCACAUCUAUGUGUACUUUUUGCCUCGAGUUCAAUGAUCCAAGGUUCUACCUGCGAUGCACUACCUGCAGCUUCGCAUGCAUAAUGCUAUUCUUCCAUCGACCACCAAAGUGGAAUAUAGGAGUAGUUGAUUUUAAAUAACAUGUAUAUAGUGUGGGCAGUAUAUACAAGUUUUACACAUUGCCAAGCAUUAUUCGCAGUACUUGGCAUAUCAUGCCCAUAAUGUGUAGAUCUCUAAUUAUGAAAGACCUGUAAUUUUAUUUUAUCGAAAAACUAACACGAUAUUGCUGUAACUUAAAUGUAUGUAACAGAAAAUAUGGGAUAAUUUCUUUGUUUUACAUAUUUUACUUAGCCAAUUUUAUAAUUACGGAACAAAUAGAAAACCCUAUCUAUGUGUUUGUUUGGACUAAUCUCGAGAACCAUUGGCUAGGAAAUGAAAUCAGACAUUUUGGGAACACAAGCGCGUGGCAUGCAAUAAUUUACAAUAUAAAUAAUACUACGGUUCUCACUCUUCGUUGUAUUAAUUGUCAAUGAGCACUGAAUGGAACUGGGAGGGCGAAUAGCGAUUUUCUACAAUGAAGAUUUUUACUGUAUCAAACGCACGCACAGAGAAUAAACAGUGCAAAGAUGUAAAUUUUUCGACCGAUUAUUAUUACACUUUGAAUCGGUGAUUUCAACGGAAUUAAUUCCACCGAGAGGCAAUAUCCUCCUCGGCGUCUGGAGGAGAUGUCUGGUCGGUAUUUGAUAGACAUGCCAAUGUCCGAAGUACACGAUGUGUCUUAUUGCGCAUGCAGGUACACGCACGCCAAAGGGUUAUUGAGAUAUGCUUGUUAACAGUGCCAGACAUAAUAAGAACAUGAGUUUACGUAAAUGUUUCCUAAUUCGGGUAUGACCGCGUGUGAUAAAGUGGAAGUCAAUUUGCGACACCGAGUCUCUUGUUCUCUAUUGAAUUAUACCAUAAAUUCAUAGACGCACAUUUUUGCUGCGAAUUUUAUUUUGCAAUAAUUCCUUGCUUCAGUAAUCGACAAAGUGGCAAAAUAUGAUGAACAAUACCGACGUUAUUAAUACAUGAUUGCGAAAAAUAAAUUGUCGAGCUUUUACAAAUUUCACCGCGAUCUCGUGGAACAAUUUAAUGUUUUUAGUUCGAAAGAUUGUGAAUACGCUCCCUCGUGCGCUAUGUUAUAAAUAAAACUCAUUAACAAA